GCUUUUCCUGAUAGACAAAACAAGUUAACAGGCCACUGCAGGUUACUCUCUGAAUCAACAUAUGCAACAUAAUUUCAUUGUCUUUCCUCCCCUCUUCCUCUAGGCCUUGAGCGGUAAUUAUAAAGACUUCAAAUCUCCCCAGUGACUUCAGCUGGUUAAAAAAAUUUGGAUCACAGGAAUAACGUAACCCAGAGCCUGCUUUCAACAGCAUUGUUCGCACUCCAGAGAAGGCAGAAGAACGGAGGGAGGGAUGAUAUCACAGGACUCAGACCAAGACAGAGGGACUCGAAACCAGACUUGAAGACGAGACUGAGUCAGUCCAGAAGGAGGAUAUUUUUGCCGGUUUCGCAUCCGUGCUUGCUGUUUGCCCAUCACUGCAGUUUAUGGCACUGCAGAGACCCGUGUUGAGAGAAGCAGGAGAGUAAGGAGCUGACGCCGGGAGCGCCGGGGAAGUGUGAGUUGUUGGGGGGGGGGGAGUUUUGGAGAGGCUCGCCGUGGUCUGCCUACAGCUGGGAGGGAUGCGAGGGGAUCUUUGAUGAAAGGCGUGCUGAGGAAUCCAGAGGGAGUUAGUACCCAAACAUGCGUGGUUCAGCCCUGCCUGUCUUGUAGUUCAGUGACGGUAUGAG
rnacentral:lncRNA from 1 species